GACGAACGCUGGAGGCGUGCUUAACACAUGCAAGUCGAACGAUGAAAUGGAGCUUGCUCCAUGGAUUAGUGGCGAACGGGUGAGUAACACGUGAAUAACCUGCCCUUAAUUUUGGAAUAACCCAGGGAAACCUGGGCUAAUACCGGAUAAGUAAACCUGUGGCAUCACAUGGUUUUGGAAAGUUUUUCGAUUAAGGAUGGAUUCGCGGCCUAUCAGCUUGUUGGUGAGGUAAUGGCUCACCAAGGCGACGACGGGUAGCCGGCCUGAGAGGGUGAAAGGCCACACUGGGACUGAGACACGGCCCAGACUCCUACGGGAGGCAGCAGUGGGGAAUAUUGCGCAAUGGACGAAGGUCUGACGCAGCGACGCCUCGUGAGGGACGAAGGUCUUCGGAUUGUAAACCUCUUUCAGCAGGGACGAAGCGAAAGUGACGGUACCUGCAGAAGAAGCACCGGCUAACUAUGUGCCAGCAGCCGCAGUAA
rnacentral:rRNA from 1 species